rnacentral:rRNA from 1 species
UGCCAGCAGCCGCGGUAAUACGGAGGGUGCAAGCGUUGUUCGGAAUUAUUGGGCGUAAAGCGCGUGUAGGCGGUUCGUUAAGUCUGAUGUGAAAGCCCGGGGCUCAACCAUGGAAUUGCAUUGAAUACUGGCAGACUAGAGUACGAGAGAGGAAAGUGGAAUUUCCGGUGUAGCGGUGGAAUGCGUAGAUAUCGGAAGGAACACCAAAGGCGAAGGCAGCUUUCUGGCUCGUUACUGACCCUGAGGGACGAAAGUUAGGGGAGCGAACAGGAUUAGAUA